UACGUAGGGGGCAAGCGUUGUCCGGAUUUAUUGGGCGUAAAGCGCGCGUAGGCGGCAAGGUAUGUCGUGCGUGAAAUCUCCCGGCUUAACUGGGAGGGCCGUGCGAAACUGCCUGGCUUGAGGUCGGAAGGGGAAAGUGGAAUUCCGGGUGUAGUGGUGGAAUACGUAGAUAUCCGGAGGAACACCAGCGGCGAAGGCGGCUUUCUGGUCCGAUUCUGACGCUGAGGCGCGAAAGCGGUGGGGAGCGAGUCCGG
rnacentral:rRNA from 1 species